CCUUGUGUUACUUUUAUAGCAGUAGCUGUAGCAAGAUUGUUAAUAUUGACAGUUAAAACUGGGCUUCAAAAUUAACUCACUAUAGUUGCAGGCAUCACAGUGCACCUUGUUACUAAGUUUUUGUUCCAAUUAGAAAACACAUUAGUGUUAUACACUUUUCUGGGAAAUGAGACGUCAUCAUAAAAUUUUAGGUUUUGACAAUUCUAC